rnacentral:rRNA from 1 species
UCCCCCAGUAGCGGCGAGCGAACGGGGAGGAGCCCAGAGCCUGAAUCAGUGUGUGUGUUAGUGGAAGCGUCUGGAAAGGCGCGCGAUACAGGGUGACAGCCCCGUACACAAAAAUACACAUAUUGUGAGCUCGAUGAGUAGGGCGGGACACGUGGUAUCCUGUCUGAAUAUGGGGGGACCAUCCUCCAAGGCUAAAUACUCCUGACUGACCGAUAGUGAACCAGUACCGUGAGGGAAAGGCGAAAAGAACCCCGGCGAGGGGAGUGAAAAAGAACCUGAAACCGUGUACGUACAAGCAGUGGGAGCACGCUUAGGCGUGUGACUGCGUACCUUUUGUAUAAUGGGUCAGCGACUUAUAUUCUGUAGCAAGGUUAACCGAAUAGGGGAGCCGAAGGGAAACCGAGUCUUAACUGGGCGUUAAGUUGCAGGGUAUAGACCCGAAACCCGGUGAUCUAGCCAUGGGCAGGUUGAAGGUUGGGUAACACUAACUGGAGGACCGAACCGACUAAUGUUGAAAAAUUAGCGGAUGACUUGUGGCUGGGGGUGAAAGGCCAAUCAAACCGGGAGAUAGCUGGUUCUCCCCGAAAGCUAUUUAGGUAGCGCCUCGUGAAUUCAUCUCCGGGGGUAGAGCACUGUUUCGGCAAGGGGGUCAUCCCGACUUACCAACCCGAUGCAAACUGCGAAUACCGGAGAAUGUUAUCACGGGAGACACACGGCGGGUGCUAACGUCCGUCGUGAAGAGGGAAACAACCCAGACCGCCAGCUAAGGUCCCAAAGUCAUGGUUAAGUGGGAAACGAUGUGGGAAGGCCCAGACAGCCAGGAUGUUGGCUUAGAAGCAGCCAUCAUUUAAAGAAAGCGUAAUAGCUCACUGGUCGAGUCGGCCUGCGCGGAAGAUGUAACGGGGCUAAACCAUGCACCGAAGCUGCGGCAGCGACGCUUAUGCGUUGUUGGGUAGGGGAGCGUUCUGUAAGCCUGCGAAGGUGUGCUGUGAGGCAUGCUGGAGGUAUCAGAAGUGCGAAUGCUGACAUAAGUAACGAUAAAGCGGGUGAAAAGCCCGCUCGCCGGAAGACCAAGGGUUCCUGUCCAACGUUAAUCGGGGCAGGGUGAGUCGACCCCUAAGGCGAGGCCGAAAGGCGUAGUCGAUGGGAAACAGGUUAAUAUUCCUGUACUUGGUGUUACUGCGAAGGGGGGACGGAGAAGGCUAUGUUGGCCGGGCGACGGUUGUCCCGGUUUAAGCGUGUAGGCUGGUUUUCCAGGCAAAUCCGGAAAAUCAAGGCUGAGGCGUGAUGACGAGGCACUACGGUGCUGAAGCAACAAAUGCCCUGCUUCCAGGAAAAGCCUCUAAGCAUCAGGUAACAUCAAAUCGUACCCCAAACCGACACAGGUGGUCAGGUAGAGAAUACCAAGGCGCUUGAGAGAACUCGGGUGAAGGAACUAGGCAAAAUGGUGCCGUAACUUCGGGAGAAGGCACGCUGAUAUGUAGGUGAAGUCCCUUGCGGAUGGAGCUGAAAUCAGUCGAAGAUACCAGCUGGCUGCAACUGUUUAUUAAAAACACAGCACUGUGCAAACACGAAAGUGGACGUAUACGGUGUGACGCCUGCCCGGUGCCGGAAGGUUAAUUGAUGGGGUCAGCGCAAGCGAAGCUCUUGAUCGAAGCCCCGGUAAACGGCGGCCGUAACUAUAACGGUCCUAAGGUAGCGAAAUUCCUUGUCGGGUAAGUUCCGACCUGCACGAAUGGCGUAAUGAUGGCCAGGCUGUCUCCACCCGAGACUCAGUGAAAUUGAACUCGCUGUGAAGAUGCAGUGUACCCGCGGCAAGACGGAAAGACCCCGUGAACCUUUACUAUAGCUUGACACUGAACAUUGAGCCUUGAUGUGUAGGAUAGGUGGGAGGCUUUGAAGUGUGGACGCCAGUCUGCAUGGAGCCGGCCUUGAAAUACCACCCUUUAAUGUUUGAUGUUCUAACGUGGACCCGUGAUCCGGGUUGCGGACAGUGUCUGGUGGGUAGUUUGACUGGGGCGGUCUCCUCCUAAAGAGUAACGGAGGAGCACGAAGGUUGGCUAAUCCUGGUCGGACAUCAGGAGGUUAGUGCAAUGGCAUAAGCCAGCUUGACUGCGAGCGUGACGGCGCGAGCAGGUGCGAAAGCAGGUCAUAGUGAUCCGGUGGUUCUGAAUGGAAGGGCCAUCGCUCAACGGAUAAAAGGUACUCCGGGGAUAACAGGCUGAUACCGCCCAAGAGUUCAUAUCGACGGCGGUGUUUGGCACCUCGAUGUCGGCUCAUCACAUCCUGGGGCUGAAGUAGGUCCCAAGGGUAUGGCUGUUCGCCAUUUAAAGUGGUACGCGAGCUGGGUUUAGAACGUCGUGAGACAGUUCGGUCCCUAUCUGCCGUGGGCGCUGGAGAACUGAGGGGGGCUGCUCCUAGUACGAGAGGACCGGAGUGGACGCAUCACUGGUGUUCGGGUUGUCAUGCCAAUGGCACUGCCCGGUAGCUAAAUGCGGAAGAGAUAAGUGCUGAAAGCAUCUAAGCACGAAACUUGCCCCGAGAUGAGUUCU